ACAUUACUAGACCUCAGAGCACAUAAAAGUGUACUCUAGGCCAAGUCUGCUCAUUAUGUCUUAAAAUACAAAGAUGGACACUCUCCCUCCCAUUCUCUUUCUCUUAAGAAAUUCUUGGAAGCUCGUGAUCACCACCUGGCCUAGUGAUACAUGAAAUUCACGUGAAGCAAUUCUCACAGUCACACCAUACACUCUAUAAUUACCACAACAAGUAGAACUUAUUAGGAGAUUACAGUUCCAUAUGUACCUCUAGUCUGCUCAUCAUGUUUCAACAAAGAUAGACGCUCUCCCAUCUUCCUUCUCUUCUUGUGAAAGUUUGCAACGAGAAGAUAAUACUUAUUACCACAAGUGGAACUUUUCAGGAGAUUACACUUCAUAUGUACCUCUAGUCUGCUCAUCAUGUCUCAACAAAAAUGGAUACUGUCCCAUCCUCUUUCCCUUCUAGUGAAAGUUGCACAGCGAGGAGUUCUUGGAACCUCGUGAUCACCAGCUGGUCCUUCAAUACAUGGCAUUCACAUGAAGCUUUUGGAACAGUUCUCUUUCUUGAAAAUGGUCUCUCAAUCAAUCACACCACCCUUGUCCUAUAUAAAGGAUGACACUUUUAGCUAAGAGUAGCUCGUCAUCAUUUGUGACCGCAUCAUCUCGUAUUCCAAAGCAAAAAUUAUAUAGCUAGAUGGAUUCCGGCAAGCAGUAUUUCCUUAACAUUGAAGAAGAAGAAGAGGGGAGAUUUGCAAGGGUCAGUAAUUGGCUUGACCAGCAAGUUGAAGCUGGUAAAAUUGAGCUUAAAGGGCAUUGUAGAAUUAAGUCUGAUGAGAUCAAGAAAUGCGAAUUACCUCAGACCUGGGAUAGAGAAUACGAUUUCUCCAGGACAGCUGGAGCAGUAUUGAGGCUAGCAUUGCUAAAAGUGACCGGACUGAUUGACCAUUACAAUCCUGAUUUUACUGCAAAAAAAACAACAUUCCUGCUUUAGAGAUUCGUCGAUUUGUUGUCGCUGUCGAAAUAAAUGCCGACAAUCUCCUUGCUAGCGAUGAGGAGGAAGCAAAAGAGGUCUGUGAUAAUCACCAAAAGUUGUUUUCACGUAAGUACUUUAUAUCCAUUCUUUCUGCUGAACCACCAAACAAAUUUGUAAAAAAGCGAAACGUGGACCGUGAAAUGAUUGUCGUUAACUAUCCUUAUGGUGUUGUCUGGCGUAUAAAGACUGCACUUCAAAUUCAGACCGAUACUCAAAAGAUUCUUCAAGGCAUCCCAUGUGUCAUUGUCAAGAGGUACAAUUCUCGUACAAAAGGUGAGCCUAAGCUGAUAGAUUACCCAUAUCCUCCUCCAAGUCCGGCGCCUAUGAGUGAAAAAGAUAAAAAAGAAUUUGAUGAGUUUAUUGAGUCGUUUGAGAAGAUGGGUAAAAGCUCAAAGAACUAGACUGUAACAUUAUUUUUUGCUAACUAUUAUUAUUAGGUUAUUAACUUUAGGUUGUUUCUUCAAAUUAUUGAUUUGAUUGGUUAUUUUUUGUUAUAAUUGAUUGUUUGAAUUCUUGAAAGCUCAAAUUAA